UACGAAGGGGGCUAGCGUUGCUCGGAAUCACUGGGCGUAAAGGGUACGUAGGCGGGUUUUUAAGUCAGGGGUGAAAUCCUGGAGCUCAACUCCAGAACUGCCUUUGAUACUGAAGAUCUUGAGUCCGGGAGAGGUGAGUGGAACUGCGAGUGUAGAGGUGAAAUUCGUAGAUAUUCGCAAGAACACCAGUGGCGAAGGCGGCUCACUGGCCCGGUACUGACGCUGAGGCACGAAAGCGUGGGGAGCAAACAGG
rnacentral:rRNA from 1 species